CCUCGGGCUCCCUCGCCUCAGCCUCACGCGGAGUCGUUCCCCCCCACCCCGCCCCACCUCGGCCAAUCAGCGGCCGCCCCUGGAGAGGAGGGGGGCGGGACUGAGUGAGUCCCGAAGAGGCGCUUGGCGACAGGAAAAAGGGGACGGUGGAGUGGCAGGCGCGCUGGCCAAUCGGGACGAGGAGAGCGAAUCUGGGCGAGUGGGGUUUGGCGCGUGGAAGACUGGAAGGCGUUACAAAACAAGUUACAAUGUGAACUUGUGUGUCUGCGGUGGAGGAGACGUGUAGGUAGGCUGAGAAAGUUUCUUCGGUCUUGUUGGAUGGAAUUUGCAAAUCUGGAACUACUUCGUGUGACCCCCCCAAACAGUCAUGGGAACCGUUAUAAAAGAGGACGGGAGGGGUGGCCUCCAAAGACUUCUCCAAGUCUCCUUCAAACGGAUAUGAUGAGACCCUGAUGAUAAAUAACGUUAACAUAGUUUGAGCCCUUUUCUGCUUCUCCAUACCGGCAGCUACCCAGGGCGUUGUCCAUCUGUUCUCGCAGUACUUUAGCAAAGGUGCGGUGUGUUUUACAGACAGAAACCCACGCAGACAGCUUCAGGCUUUUGCAUCUGUUCUCGCAGUACUUUAGCAAAGGUGCGGUGUGUUUUACGGACAGAAACCCACGCAGACAGCUUCAGACUUUUGCACAGGGCUGCUUUUGUGGGGCUGCUGAGUCCUGACAGGCUGCUGUGCUUCCAAGGGCUCAUGGUGCGCUGCAGCGGAACUGCCUGAGAGGACACGGAAAGGCUCUGUUCGGCUUACAUGUUUCAGGUGUUUCUGUCCUGGUGACUUGGCCGGAUUGCUUUUCACCUAUGCUGAGGCAGCAUGUCCGGGAGGCUACGUCCCUCAUGUCCUCGGAGUUGCACAGGGAGCAGAGAAGGGAGUCCCAUGUGCCCCUUCAAGGGCACAUCUAUGGUUAACUUCCCUGACUUCCUCCCCAGGAUCCUGUCCCCACCUAUGGUUUCACACUCCACAGUAGUGUCAGGGCCUGGCAACCGAGCUUUUAACACAUGGUUCCUUGGGGGAUAUUCCAGAUGCAAACUGUAACACGUGACAUGGGAUGAGAUAGGGCAAGAUAGCACAGCAAUGCACAGAAUGGGAUGGCCUGGGAUGAGACCAAAGUCUCAUGGAAGUGGAGCAGUUGUUCUCUUUGAAAAAGAGAUAAAUGGUUUAUUUUUUAAAGAGAGAGGAAGGAUAAUGGUGUAAACAUAGAUAAAGAAUCAUCAUGGAAAGAGAGGGAGAUUAAAAUUUUUGUUGUUUAAUGUGAAUAGCAUCAGGUAAGCAUCACAAGGUUCCCCUCAUGCUAGACAGGUGUUCAGCUACUGAGCACAUUUAAGUAGGUUUGAGAAGAAUAGAAAAAGUAUAGUUAUUAUGACUGAACCUGGGAACCAACUAGAGAUCACCACAGUCAUGUCAAUCAUUCUAGUGCUUGAAAAGUUCUGGGCAGAGGAAUCUGCAUGCAUGUGUGUUGUGUGUGGUGUAUGCACACAUGCAUGUGAUGUUCUAGUGCAAAGAGGAUGUUGGUAAUCUUUCUCUAUUUCUCUCUGCUUUAUGCUCUUAGGACAGUGUCUCUCACUGAACCUGGAGCUUCCUGUUCUAUAGCUAGACUGGCCUGUGUCUCCACCUCUCUCCCUAACACUGGGGUAUAAGUACAUGUGGCCACAUCCAGCUCGUUACAUAGGUUCUGAGGAUCCAAACUAAGUUCCACAUGCUCACACAACGUGAGCCAUCUCCCCGUUGGCAAGGGUAAUUUUUAGUUAUUCAGGCUUUUUAUCCUGUGUAUUGUGAGAAAAACAACCUCACUGGUUUGCUCACUCAAUACUAGUAUUGUUCCCCAGGGAUUGUAAUAAGCAAAAUCACCUAGUCUCAUUUCCAGAUACUUGAGUUAAGAAUCACUCAGCUAACAUUUCAUAACCUAACAACACAGGCAAAUCAAGUUGCUACACUAUCUGACCUACCCCAGGAACCUAAGUUCAGAAUGUAAUAAUCAUAAAAGCUUUGAUAAAGAUUUGGGAAUAGAAAUAAUCCUAGAUGCCUCUCCUUGGCUGUGAAUUCUCAGUCUACCCCUGUUGUUCCAUUCUCAACAUGUGCAUUUCUAAAGUCAUUGUUGCAUUUUAAAUACAGUUGUAUAAAUGUGAUGCUGAUUCUAAGAUUUUUUUUAAAGUAGGCAAUGUUCUACUAAACCCCAAUAAAAUACCUAGCUUUAUAAGCCUGGCUCUUUGCCCAAGAUGGUGGGAAUUAAAGUGGAGCCAGGCAAGGAGGACAAAGGAAACAAGUGCCCCUGCCUGACCUUUUAGAGAGUUCCUGUUGAGGUCUCCAAGAAGACCACCUCCAUCUAACAAAAAGAGAAAGGGGCCUAGGAAUUUGAACCUGUACCUACUGCCUAUAUUCACAAACACCGCUCUGGAAAGGCCGAUGUAGGAACACCACUGUUGAGGAAUAUGGAAGACUUAGAACUGCCAAAUACAGAAAAGAACUCAGAUAAAUACAGCCUCUUAUCGAAAUAACCUCUGAGAACUAGUGCCUGCCUAUAUCUGAGAGCUAGACCUCAGGUCCUGCUUAUCAGACUGUCUUAUGCAUUAAGCAUGCCUCAGUGCACCUUGAUAACCAACUCAUCUGAUAAUUACUUUAGCCUUCUUGGAUCCAACUUUGCUGACAAAGUCAAUGAACUUCAACCUGCCAAUUCUUAUGACUGUUUUGACCCAGUGUAUUGGAUUAUAGUCUUGAAGUAAGCCUUGUCAAUUAAUCUUCAGUUGUGUAAUCUCUGUCCAUUUCAGACAUUCCUUCCACAUAAAACAUAGGUGGCCAUCUAUCUGGUUUGACUACCUGCUUGGCUUCCUCAAAGUCUUUCAGAAAGCUUCUAAACAUGAUGCGCAGCUCUGUCUCUUGUCCAUUAAAGAACAUUAGCACACUCAGCUCCAGUAGCUUUCCAUAGCACACUUGCAGAUGUUUAAGACUGCAGGGCUUCCAGUAAGAUGGAGUACAGAAUGAGUGUGGGACCUUCAUUUCUGGAUGAAAGGUCUCCAGAAAUCAUGCACACUUUCAUCAUUGCUAUUAUCCAAGUAGGAAACACAGAUGAAUUGUUUUAAAUCUUGAGAUGUGUUUAUAAGCCAGUCCUCAUUCCAAAGUCAAAGACUUCAGGAAAGAUUGCUACAUAAAAGUAGCACCUACUAGAUCACACACAGCUUCUGCUGUUCUAAGUGUUGAUUCUAGAAUGCAAAUUAACACAACUGAUUCUCUGUCAUCGGGUGUAA